CGCGCGCGGCGCCUCCAGUCCGUCUGUACCGCACGGCUACGCUCCAGCACACUACCAGAUAUGGCCCGCCACGUGUUCGUGUUCCUGCUGGUAGCCGUCUUCUUGCUGCAGGUGGUGGUGUCCCUGCCGCGAGAGCGCCGGGACGCCGACGAGACGACGGAGACGGCGGCCAACAUCCUGGAGGGCAUCGAGCGGCUCGCCAGCGACGUCUCCAAGAAGACGCAGGAGUUCUUCACGGCCGACUCGUGGCGCGCCAUACAGGGCAACGCGACCGAGUUGGCCAACAAAGUCGGGUCGGCCUUCACGGGCCUCGUCGAGGGCGCCGCCACGACUGGCACUCCCGCCUAAGUCCGACUUGACGCCGCCGCCGCCGCCGCCACGGACUGGGGACAGCCACUGAAAGUUCCCACACUGCUGGGUCCAUAGCAGCCCACCAGCCAGGAGUCGCACUAAACUUUAUCACCGAAUGGUCCAUUGGACUCUGGACAGUAUUCCAGUGACACGAGCUACAAUUGAUUACCCCAUCAUUUUUAUUAAAACAUGCCGCCAUGCACAUUUAUUUAACCUGUAACAACAAACUGCUUAACACAGUCAGCUUCCUACAGUGCAUACCAGGUAACACUGUAAUAAAUACAACUAAAGAAUUCUGCACGCUGUGAACUCACAAGCAGAUCUGCGUUGGGCAGCAAUGAUUAAACUAUAAUAAUGUCAAAGAGCCCUUGUAUGGCAACCACGCUUUCUAAACUACAGCCAAAAAAAUAAAUAUAAAUUUUCAAUCUAUAAAAUGGCAGCAUACUCAACAAAAAUGGAACAGAAGACUCUCAUCUACUCUGAAUGUCAAACACAAACACUUCUUCAGUCUUCAGCUAACAAGUAGUCGGGGAACUAGCAAAUCUGCUUUCGCAAUUACUGUGUAGGGUUCAAUUUGAUGAAGGUUACAUCUGAAUAAUGAAUAUGGUGCAGUAAAGACGACAACAAGUGCAAAUGAACAAAAACUUUGCUCCCUAGUAACUCUUUGCUGUUCUUGUAAACGACGAUAUAAACUAUACAAUAAUAAGUGAAAAUGUGAUGUGAUCACACAACUUCAUCUUCUGUUCGUGGUGGCAGUGUACUAAUUAUGCUUUAUUAAUAUGUAAACGUCUCUCAUGCUAUUCAGAUAUUUAUUUCUGUUUCUCAUACCUGCCAACAGCACUUGAACAAUACAUGCUUCUGCACUGUUUGAAAACAA